CACACAAUACAAGAAUUCAUUAAAUUUGAAACUUACAAGUUACAACACAACGACCAAAACUUAUAGUAAAAUAACCAACACCAGAAAAAACCCUACAACCAGGUCAAGUUACAUAUGUUGGUUAGAUCUGUGGUCUCAUACAAGCUUAUAACUAUAUAUAAAAACCCUUCAAGGGAGGGAGGAAUGCAGCUAUAUUAUGAAGGUUAAUUAUGGCUAAUAAUAGUUAUAUUAAUUUGGUAGUUAGCUUAGUGAGUUGAGUUGAUAUCAAUCUUGUCUUUGGUAAACUCGAAUGGCAUUUCUGACACCGUGCGUUUGAGCCCAUCCGACGAUAGUCUUGGCGGCCUACUAAAUGUGUAGGAGCUGACGAUAGCGUCGCCAUGGGGUGCCAUGUUAACUUAUGGUAAAAAAAAAUUUGUGUAAUGGGAAUUAUAUGUGAAGAUUUUGAUAUGAUUGAUAAUAGUGUUG
rnacentral:lncRNA from 1 species